UAUUGGGCAAUGGGCGCAACCCUGACUCAGCAACGCCGCGUGUAGGAAGAGGGCUUUCGGGUUGUAAACUUCUUUUGUCAGGGACGAAGCAAGUGACGGUACCUGACGAAUAAGCCACGGCUAACUACGUGCCAGCAGCCGCGGUAAUACGUAGGUGGCAAGCGUUAUCCGGAUUUACUGGGUGUAAAGGGCGUGUAGGCGGGGAAGCAAGUCAGAUGUGAAAACCACGGGCUCAACCUGUGGCCUGCAUUUGAAACUGUUUUUCUUGAGUACUGGAGAGGCAGACGGAAUUCCUAGUGUAGCGGUGAAAUGCGUAGAUAUUAGGAGGAACACCAGUGGCGAAGGCGGUCUGCUGGACAGCAACUGACGCUGAGGCGCGAAAGCGUGGGGAGCAA
rnacentral:rRNA from 1 species